CAAUUUAUGAGGAAAACAAGGAUGAAGAUGGUUUCCUUUAUAUGACCUACAGCGGAGAAAACACGUUUGGAGCGUGCUGAAACACAAUAAGAUGCAAACGUCUACAGAAAAUGGGAAGGGGAAAAGAUCAUAUCUGCUCUUGUACAUUCUCCUCACCCCCAUCAGUUGACUCUUUUAUCCCUUCAAACACAAUCUUUCUGUAUAGUUGGUUUAUUUGCGUUAUUCAAAAGUCAUGCUGUAAAUAAGGG
rnacentral:misc_RNA from 1 species